rnacentral:rRNA from 1 species
GACGAACGCUGGCGGCGUGCUUAACACAUGCAAGUCGAACGGAAAGGCCCUGCUUUUGUGGGGUGCUCGAGUGGCGAACGGGUGAGUAACACGUGAGUAACCUGCCCUUGACUUUGGGAUAACUUCAGGAAACUGGGGCUAAUACCGGCUAGGAGCUCCUGCUGCAUGGUGGGGGUUGGAAAGUUUCGGCGGUUGGGGAUGGACUCGCGGCUUAUCAGCUUGUUGGUGGGGUAGUGGCUUACCAAGGCUUUGACGGGUAGCCGGCCUGAGAGGGUGACCGGCCACAUUGGGACUGGGAUACGGCCCAGCCUCCUACGGGAGGCAGCAGUGGGGAAUAUUGCACAAUGGGCGGAAGCCUGAUGCAGCAACGCCGCGUGCGGGAUGACGGCCUUCGGGUUGUAAACCGCUUUCGCCUGUGACGAAGCGUGAGUGACGGUAAUGGGUAAAGAAGCACCGGCUAACUACGUG